AUAGCUGGUUCUCCUCGAAAUAGCUUUAGGGCUAGCCUCGGAAUGAGAUACGCGGAGGUAGAGCACUGAAUAUCCUAGGGGCCUUCACCGGCUACCGAAGAUUAUCAAACUCCGAAUGCCGCAGUAUCAUGUCCGGGAGUCAGACUAUGUGAGAUAAGUUUCAUAGUCGAAAGGGAAACAGCCCAGACCAACAGCUAAGGUCCCAAAGUUCAGGUUAAGUGGAAAAGGAUGUGGAGCUGCAUAGACAACUAGGACGUUGGCUUAGAAGCAGCCACUCAUUUAAAGAGUGCGUAAUAGCUCACUAGUCGAGUGACUCUGCGCCGAAGAUAAACGGGGCUGAAACCUGACACCGAAGCUUUGGAUACAUUAUGUAUGGUAGAGGAGCAUCGUAUACGGGCAGAAGCGUGACCGUAAGGGAGCGUGGACUGUAUACGAGAGAGAAUGUUGGCAUGAGUAGCGAGAGGCAGGUGAGAAUCCUGCCCGCCGAAAAUCUGAGGAUUCCUGAGGAAGGUUCGUCCGCUCAGGGUAAGUCGGGACCUAAGCCGAGAACGAAAGUUGUAGGCGAUGGACAACAGGUUGAGAUUCCUGUACCACCGAGGAUCAUUUGAAUGAAGUGGGGACGCAGGAGGAUAGGCUGAGCGCGCCGUUGGUGGAGCGCGUCCAAGCACGGAGGGAGUUGGCCAGGCAAAUCCGGUCAGCGAGUUCCUGACGUGUGACGGGGAGGGAAAACAAGUACCGAAGCAGCUGAUUUCACACUGCCAAGAAAAGCCGCUGGUGAGAUCCAAGGUGCCCGUACCGCAAACCGACACAGGUAGAUGAGGAGAGAAUCCUAAGGCGAGCGAGAGAACUAUUGUUAAGGAACUCGGCAAAAUGACCCCGUAACUUAGGGAGAAGGGGUGCUGCAGAAAUGCAGCCGCAGUGAAGAGGCCCAGGCGACUGUUUACCAAAAACACAGGUCUCUGCGAAAGCGAAAGCUGAAGUAUAGGGGCUGACGCCUGCCCGGUGCUGGAAGGUUAAGGGGAAGUGUCAGGGCGACCGAAGCACAGAAUUUAAGCCCCAGUAAACGGCGGCCGUAACUAUAACGGUCCUAAGGUAGCGAAAUUCCUUGUCGGGUAAGUUCCGACCCGCACGAAAGGCGUAACGAUCUGGGCACUGUCUCGACAAUAGGCUCGGUGAAAUUGUAGUACCGGUAAAGAUGCCGGUUACCCGCAGCAGGACGGAAAGACCCCGUGGAGCUUUACUGCAGUUUGAUAUUGAGUUUCGGCAUUGCAUGUACAGGAUAGGUGGGAGACAGAGAAGUAUGCACGCCAGUGUGUAAUGAGUCGCCGUUGGGAUACCACCCUUGUAAUGUUGGAAUUCUAACCAGGGCCCGUGAACCGGGUCGGGGACAGUG
rnacentral:rRNA from 1 species